CUUUUAGCUUAAAUUCAUAGUAUAUUUUUAGUUUGGAUAGGUGGGAGUGGAAAAUUCUCAGCUAUAAUCAAUAAAAACAUACAUUGGAAGAAGAUUUUGGAAGAGGAAAAAUAUAUAUUGCACAAGACUCAAAAUUUCUCUAAGCUUAAGGACAAGUGCAGAACUAUGGUGCAUAUGUGAUUAGUAAGUUCUUUCACUAUAAUAUCUCUACAAAUAUUUUGAAGUGGCAACAUAGUAGUGUGAAUAAAUUUUCAGCAACAAUCAAUAAAAACAUAUAUUGGAGGAAGAUUUUGGAGACUGGAGAAGAAUGUACAUUCCACAAGGGUGAUUCUUCUAAACUUAAGGACAAGUGAAGUAACAUGGUGUAUAUGUGAUUAGUAAGUCUUUUCACUAUAAUAUCUUUAGAAACCUUUUAAAGUGACAACACAUUAGUGUGAAGAAACUUUCAGCUACAAUCAAUAAACACAUAUGUUGGAGGCAAAAUUUAGAGAUGUGAAAAGGUAUAUUCCACCUUGUAAUUCCUCUUAGCUUAAGGACAAGUGGAGAACCAUGGUGCAUAAGUGAUUAAUAAGUUUUUUCACUAUAAUAUCUCUAGAAAUAUUUUGAAGUGGCAAAAUAGUAGUGUGAAUAAAUUUUUAGCUACAAUCAAUAAAAACAUACAUUAGAGGAAGAUUUUGAAGACUGGAGAAGGUACAUUCCACAUGAUUCCUAAUUAUUUUGAUGUGACAACACAUUACUGUGAAGAAACUUUCAGCUACAAUCAAUAAAAACAUACGUUGAAGGCAGAUUUUGGAGAUGGAAAAAGGUAUAUUUCAGAAGACUUAUAAUUCCUUUGAGUUUAAGGACAAGUGGAGAAACAUGGUGCAUAUGUGAUAAAUCACUAUAAUAUCUUUAGAAA